UCCCCCCCACCAGACAAUGUACGAGCUGACAGCUGGAGAGAGAGUCCAUCUCAUUGAGCUUCAGAACUCUCCACUUUGUUCUGCCCCAUUAUUUUCUCGCCUACGCCCGUGCUAAGCGUCGAGCGCCUGUCUUCCUUUAUUUGUUAAUAAUGCAUACAUUUCAGAUCCCUUAUCGCCUAUCAUCUAUUCCAUCCAGAGUGAUGCUUUAACUAGAUCCUUAACAGAAAGACUCAUGCAAAAUUGAUGGUCCACUCCACAGUAUGGGGUCAAAUGUCUUUCUAGAAGCCACAGUGGUGCUACAACAAGAGACAGACAUCUGAACAACUCUCCAGGUGAUCGAGCUCCCCUACUUUGGAAUGGAACUUACAAAGUUAGUGUUUGCAGCCCAGAUCACGGAUCAUUAGUUUCCCAGCAGCCCAAAGGAUCCAAACAGCAGGGCUGCCAGUCUUUGCUCUGUUUAUCUCUUUGAAAUGUGCUCUCUUUAUGUCAAGUCAUAUUCCUUGGCCUGUGAGCGAGUACCUGAGACGUGAGAAGGAGGAUGUGCUCUCCGCAUCUCCAUUGGGACGGACUUUAGUAGGAGGAUGUGGAACCCAUGCCUGCUGCUCCAUUAUUAAUGAACUGUUGAGUCCUCAGCACACUCUGUCUGCUGCUGAAAGAUGACAAUAUGAGCUGCUGCUCCCAAGAAGAGGGCGGAGUUUCAAGAGCUCCUGUUAGCAGUUCCGAUUACCUCAUGCAGACUCACUGAAAAUGACAGAAACUGUUCAGCCUUUUAUGUUCAAACCGGAGUCGGACAAUGAUGGAGAGACUCAAGAAGAAGUGACAACAUGUAGAAUGCAGCAGGACGUUUUUUGAACGGUUAGUUGAUGAAUUUAUGUAGCUGAUGUGGAGUUAACUAUCUUAAAGUCAUUGAUUAGCAUAUUCUGUCAUGAUAAUCUAUUAAUCGCUCAUGUGGGAACUGUUGUAAGAUGCCUACAGAGCCAGAGAAUAUAUGCUGCAUGAAGAUAGAACAAGUAUAGUUUAGUUUAAUUACAGUUAUAACUUAUGUUGUCAUCUUGCUUUUUAUGACAUGCUAGUAUUGCAAUAACAUGGCCUCACCCCUUUGUUGCAUGUUCCCGGGGGCAGGGUUUAUGUAAAUUUUAGGGUUAGUGAUGUCACUAACCCGGGAAGAAGGUCAUUGUAGUCCCUACCACCUGUUUGUUGUAGUCCUUAAAAAGCCAUUUCUUUAAAAAGUCAUUGCUUUGAACUUUGAGCAUCGUAACUUUGCAGAUGUUGUUUAUGCUCAAACAGCAACAUUACACACUAACUAAAGUUAAAAAAAAAGUGAAAUCAUAAUCAACCACCCCUUUAAAUCUUUCAAAAAUAUCCCCAUUCACUUCCAUUCCAAGUUCCUCCCUGUAACCUUGAUUUCUGCUACUUUCUUUUACUACACUUUUACUUUUUUUUCUACUUUCAGGUCAGAAUUAUUUUUGUGGAAAUCAACACAAAUGCUGUUAAUUCAGAUGAACUUGGAUUCGACCCAGAAUAUUCCUUUUAAGAAACCUUAAGUAUCUGGUUUAUUGCUUUAGGAUAGAUUCUAUUCCAGAAGUCUGGUUGUAAUGAGGUCAUUUAAAAGUAUUUGUUUUCUUUAGUUGGUUUUGACAGAACUUUAAAAGUGUAUCUGAUUACAGUAGAAUUAGUUGAGCACACACUGUGGAGUAAAUUAACCAGGGUUAAGCAGUGAUGUCAUGAGUUUGUAACAGCUUGCGAUGGGCAGAGGCAGACUGAUGUAUUAGAUUAGUGAUUAUCAGAGGUCAGGGGUCACGCUGUCCCGGGCCAGAGGGUCUGUUCUGUGAGGAGAUCUGAAGAUUAACUAUCAAAACACAAACCAGAGCAGCUGCCCACAGACUGCAUGUCAAUUAUGACAAUGAAAACAUUCCAUUGUGACAAGAAUGGCCGCAUUAUUAGAGAGAGAGAUAUUGCUGUGUAAAUGAAAUAUCAGUGUAUGAAUAAAAAAUGCAAUGUUAAAUGACAAUUUAUCAAGACAGUUCAGGGAACAGGAAAGCUGUCUCUGUGUGUUCUGGAAACUGGACAUAAUUCAAUAACAGUAAUUCAUUUUCCAUGUACUGUCGAAGCUGAUUUUAUUUAAUUUGAGACAUUGCCCUUGUAUUUUACAGCUUUUUUGUUUACUCACAGAGCAGGAAUGAUAAAUAACUACAAUCAGC